UAAAAUUUAGUUCUGAUUGCGGCUCCGGUGGUAGCAACCACCUAAAAAGACUAGCCCCUCGAACCCGCCAUAUCAACGGCAAAUUCGACAGAAGCUUCGUCGUCAACAGCACCAGUGGCAGAGGAGACAAGUAAAAACCAGAGAUAAGGAGAUGGCUCACUCCACGUAAAGCCCAGCAGUCGACAUUUUCCCUCCUCCCCCUCUCUAGCAGACGAAUUCGACUGCGCUGCUCCUUUCGGCCAGCUCCGGAAGCAUUUGACGGCUGAGGACCACUGGAGGACUGGUUUUACGUUUUGAAACGCAAAUAUAUUCGUAUUUCUUAUUUAUUUAGUUCCGUUCAGUGCACUUUAGUGAUUGAAUUGAUGAAUUGAAAAGAAACAAAGAUGAAAAUUAUGUUUCUACUGAUUCAUAAACAAGUAAAAGAAAGGAAUCUGAAUUUAAGAUAUCUGAGUACAAUUAGUUGGAUUAAUUCAUGAACACUUUCAACAGAAAACUUUUUAACAAUGAGUUUAGAUAACUUUUCUACAACAACGGAAUGAAAAAAUGUUUCAGCUGUGUAAAUCAAGGUCUGGACUUAGAGGAUCAUCACACGAGUUAAACAAGGAAUUUCUUCUGGUUGGACAUUUAACAAGUUUCUCAAUUUUCAGUACAAUGUAGCCAGCAAUGUAUGCUAGGCAUUGGUUGUUGAAGUGGUCUUUCAACUGACUAGCAUGGAAUUCCUCAUCAGAACAUAUUACUUCAAUAUCCAUCAUGAUAUCCUGAUCAACUGUGAGUUCGUUAACAUCAGAUACAUUAUCUACUGGCAUAAGGGAACAAUUGGAUGACAGUGAAGGGAGUAUUUGGAUUAUUAUUCAAUCCACAACGAAGUCGAAUGAUCCCAAAAAAGUGUUCCAAUGGGUCCUGCUGCAUGUGCCUGGUGGCUACAUAACUCAAUGGGUUGUUCUGCCGAUGAAGAAGCUGGUGGGCUAGAGUUAUAGUUGAUCGUAUCGUUGCGAUAAGUCCAAUAAUACAGGUUUUCCUUCUACUUGUGUAGAAUAAUCUGCCACUUGGAAGUUUUAGUUUAGUUAAAAAGAGCGCUAACUCAUUAAGCUCUUUAGUCUUCUCCUCUAGGUUUUCUUUGGUAAGAACCGCUUUGUCACCAUUUGCUUGAACAUUCCAUGAGUUCAGGAUAUCUAAAAGCUUAUUGAAUUGCCAACAAAACUGUUCGGUGGCCUCACUUCCUUGAAACUAUGUUACCUGAGGAACUUUUAGUACUUCUCGUAAAUGUCGGAGCGGUUCUGCCACGGAUCUACUCAAAACUUAAGCAGCGAGAGCCACCUUCAUCUUAUGUCGCUCGAAGUAUGCGUGUUGUCUUGUAAGUCGAUUACCGAGACGAAAUCCAGCCUCAUUUUGGAAUUGAAAGAGAGCCUUGAUGUACUUCCACUGUGCUGGAUCUUGAUAUCCAGGUAACUUCACCGGUGAAAAAGACAGAAGAUUCCUUGCCAACUUCAGCAUGUGGCACGCAUCAAGUAAAACAUUAACUGGUUCUCCGGUAGAAGGAUGCACGAAGUUUGGUUUAAACGGGCAAGUCAAUUUUUUUUUUCAAAGUCGCAGCUCAUCUUCCUGUCCUUGCUGUUUUCGUUGGCAUUGAUGACGACGAGUAUUUCAGAUUAUUGCGCCUAACUCAGUUGUCAUUUUAACGUUCGCCGCUAACUCAUCGAAUACCACGGAUCUGACAAUAAUCCCAAAUUCGUGUGUCGCCUUGAGUACGUCCUUAAGCAGUCCACCCAAGCGUGUUCCGUCGAUAUGGUUCGUAAAAUAUCAAUCUAUCAAUCAAUAUCAAGCUAUAGUUGUUUCUGUCCAGCGAGCCCCUAGUAAUUUCUCAUAAUUCUGAAUUUGAUCCAUAAAAAAAAUCUCAGCUUUCCCGCCAAUAAAAAACAAAGAAAACAAACAAAAUUAGGUAAAAAUCAUAAAUUUAAAAACAAAAAGUAAAAGCAGGCAGUGACAGUAGCCAUUGAAAUGCAUGCUGCACUUGGAACAGAUGGCUUCAUCAACGUAGGAAGUACAGUUACAUUUAUGAAAGACAACAUCGCUGGAUUAGCUUGCACGAUGUUAGUAGUGUUAAAGAGCAUCAACUGUAUCGCUUACCCAACAAAAUUCCCUAUUAUUCUCCGCUUGACGAGCGACUACAUUUCUUGGAAUCCGACUUCAGUUACAUGAAUGGCAACAAGAAAUCGAAAAUCUUAUUAAAUCAAUGCCUGACAACAACCAGGCGGAAAAAGAUGCUAUAAAGAAAACGAAAAAGAAGUUUCUGGUGCAUGAAACAUAAGAAGUCCUAACUUAUACUACUAUAUCAGCAGUUGCUUGCAUCCGCUAUUUGUUAGAAGAAUUGGGAUUCAAGUAUAUGUACUUACCAGAAGAUUCUCCAGUGACCCCAAUGAACAGUUGUUUGGGGCUAUUCGUCAGUUGAUUAGGGGCAACUUUAAAGGAGAUGCGACGGCUGUUUCUCAUGCGUUUGAAAAGAUAUUUGGGACGGGAAUAGCCUAUAACUCAAUUUACUACAAUACCACAUUGUCUCGCGAAUCUAAAAAGGGUACAAAUUAAUACGCUACUCAGAGAAAUCAAAAAUUGAAAUAGUAAAAGCUUUGCGUUUGUUACCACCGUCGAGUCUCCUUAUACUGAAUGAUCUUAA